rnacentral:lncRNA from 1 species
UGGGACUAGAGGCAUCCACCACCACGCCCAGAGUGAAUAACUGGAUCACAUGUUUUUGAAAGACAAUUUUAUUUGGAAAAGGAAGUCUUAGCUUUACUCCCAACUGCCCCACCAUAGUGCAAGAACUUGUCAGAUAUGCUCUCCCAGCCCUUCUUACUAAGGACAAUGGGUACUUGUCCAAGCCCAUCCACCAUUCUGUCAGUCGCAUCCUAAGAAGAGAUCAGAGAAGAUUCUCUCCUAGACCACGCAAAAUAGACCGAUCAUCUUUGGCACGUGUGGCCAUGACCCACAUGAGGAUUUAUAAGCGACCUAGUCACCGGGACUUCAUG